CGUGCAGGCGGCUCGCUAAGUCUGAUGUGAAAGCCCCGGGCUCAACCCGGGAAGUGCAUUGGAAACUGGCGAACUUGAGUACGGGAGAGGGAAGUGGAAUUCCGAGUGUAGGGGUGAAAUCCGUAGAUAUUCGGAGGAACACCGGUGGCGAAGGCGGCUUCCUGGACCGAUACUGACGCUGAGACGCGAAAGCGUGGGGAGCAAACA
rnacentral:rRNA from 1 species